GUAGAAGAAUCUCUCUGUAGACAC
rnacentral:piRNA from 1 species